ACUGAUUCUACAGCCAAAAUUAUUUUUUGUAAGAGAUAAUUAGCUUCAUGUAAAUCUUGCUGACACUUGCAAUUGUACAACUUUGACUGAAACUUGAUGUUCAAUUUUUAUUAGUGUGCACUACUUACUGGUUCAGUUUGAUGUUCAAUUUUUAUUAGUGUGCACUACUUACUGGAUGACACACAACUUUGGAUGUUCAAUUUUCUUGUGCAUAUGAUUGAAAUCUAACUAAACCUGAUAUCACAUCUAAUCUAAUGCUAAGAAACUUUUAGGAAAUUUAUCCGUACUGAUCGUUUCCACGACAGUAAACUAUAUGCAUAUCUAGGAUAUGAUGCAAGCGUGUAGUAGCAUGAGACCUCUUUCCUAAUUUAGGACAUGAUGUGAACCUUGCAUCUGAUUUAUGAGGUGUGUUUUCCUCUUUGAUGUUUUCCUUUCUAAUCCAGUUCCCUUGAUGCUUCAUGCGAUUCACAUAUGUACCAUAUAUUCUGACUUCUGGAUGCCAGGUAUUCUUAUUUUCUCAUGUGCUUAAUUGUGUUUGUAGGUAUUGAAUUACACAGAAUUUGCUGGAGGGCAACUUUUCCCAUAAAACUUAAAGAAUGAGUUGUGAGGUGGUACUAAGGGGCUUUAGGUACGGAGAUUGUUGGCAGCGGCACACGCGAUGGUGCUCACUUGUGCGAUUUGGCAAGGAAGUAUGUGAUCAUAAUAUUGCUGUUGUCAGCGGAGGCUUGCCUCACCGCAUACAAUUUCUCUCAAUCAAUAUUUAUUUGUCAGAUUGGUCCUUUGGCUAUUGAGAAAUCACCCUGCCUAGGUUCAAUUAUUUAGAUGAGUUUGUUUCAGUAUUUUGGUUAAUGCCUUAGCAUCUCUCUGCUUUGUCUGAAAAUUUAUUUGUAUGCUUUGUGCUUGGUCUCCUACAGGAAGAACAUGGUGAUUGGCUGCGCUGGUGCUUCCAGACUUGCCUGACAUGGAAUCCUUCAGUUGAGGUUUGUUUUUUCGCUACCUUUUAACUCUCUGCACCCUUCUUUUUUCCCUGCUCUUUCCAGCCAUGGUGGUUUGGUUCAUUGUAUUUGCUUGGAUUGUUUAUUAAGUAGUCCUACAGUGUAGGGUUCAUAGAGCAUCCAAAUAGUGUUUUCUCCUAUCAGGUUGUGUCUUUAGUUUAAAAAGACACUGAGUUGCUUGGAGUGUCCAAAAUUGUGCGCCUUGCUGACAAAAACAAAGACAGAAAUACAUCACAUCCACAUACAUAGCUCCCUAAGCCUAGCGACAGACAGCUUGUGCGCGGACACAUGUCAAGCUUCCACACUUGGCUCAGGCACUCCAGCAGGCUGAUUGAGCUUGAGUAAGUCGGUAGCUUAGCUGCUCGUCUGUGGGUGCAUGGCAAGAUGCGCCUCCUGCACUAGAAUAGCAUAAUUUAUAGUUUUCCUAUGCUAAUACUUAAUACUCCUACCUCAUAGUUGGACAAACAAACAUAACAGAAUCCAAUGCCUUGAACCCAAGUUUGAUUAUUUAUAUACCAGCUCAUGAAAAGGGAAUCGAAUGGUAUAUUGCUUGAUUAAGCUGAGUACGCAUUACCAUGUGAUGGCAACAUAUUCAGAGACUUACUCCAGGUCAUAUGAAAUAGAGACCCAAAAUAACAUACAACUAUGCAAUUUUGACAUUGUUUCCUUUGGCAGUUUGGCACCAUCCAAGCAGACAAGAAUUCUGUGCACUUGUUCUUUUUUUUCCCUUCCUCAACAAAUUAAUUGAUUUUUUUUGUUAAAUGUUGUUUGCAGGAAGAUUGAUUCUUGCAGAUGUGUGGGAAGAACUUGUGGAGAGGCUCACCUCACUCUUCACAAAAGGCCAAUACAUGCUUGUUGUACUCCUGGAUGAAUUUGUAUCUCUAUAUAUAUGUUUGUAAAUGUUUCUUGUGUGGCUUUAGUGAUGCCUUCUAGGAUCCUUGUUGUAAUGGACAGAAUAUUUUGUUAGAAAGGAUAAUGGAUGAAACAACUGGGAAUUUGUGAACUGGGCCAAAUUAUGUGCCUGGGACAUCAAGAUAAUUGAGUUGUGUAAGUUUGUUGUGCUAGUUGGGCUGAUGGAUGGAAUGGAUUGUUUUUGAAUUGGGUGAAUCAUAAGCCCAAAUUUUCAUGUUGGGCCUUAU
rnacentral:lncRNA from 1 species